rfam:Schistosoma rodhaini strain Burundi genome assembly, scaffold: SROB_scaffold0004232
CCACCGCUGAGAAGUCCCAUAAUAGGACGAAACGGCCGUCCAGUGG